rnacentral:rRNA from 1 species
AGUGGCGGACGGGUGAGUAACGCGUGAGAAUCUGCCUUGGGGUCGGGGACAACCACUGGAAACGGUGGCUAAUACCGGAUAAGCCGAUUGGUGAAAGAUUUAUUGCCCGAAGAGGAGCUCGCGUCUGAUUAGCUAGUUGGUGAGGUAAGAGCUCACCAAGGCAGCGAUCAGUAGCUGGUCUGAGAGGACGAUCAGCCACACUGGGACUGAGACACGGCCCAGACUCCUACGGGAGGCAGCAGUGGGGAAUUUUCCGCAAUGGGCGAAAGCCUGACGGAGCAAGACCGCGUGAGGGAGGAAGGCUCUUGGGUUGUAAACCUCUUUUCUCAGGGAAGAAGCUCUGACGGUACCUGAGGAAUCAGCCUCGGCUAACUCCGUGCCAGCAGCCGCGGUAAUACGGAGGAGGCAAGCGUUAUCCGGAAUUAUUGGGCGUAAAGCGUCCGCAGGUGGCGAUUCAAGUCUGCUGUCAAAGCACGGGGCUUAACUCCGUAAAGGCAGUGGAAACUGAAUAGCUAGAGUGCCGUAGGGGUAGAGGGAAUUCCCGGUGUAGCGGUGAAAUGCGUAGAGAUCGGGAAGAACAUCGGUGGCGAAAGCGCUCUACUGGACGGCAACUGACACUCAGGGACGAAAGCUAGGGGAGCGAAUGGGAUUACAUACCCC